UGCCCCUGCCCCUGCCCCACCCUUAUAAGAGGGCAAAUUUUGUCUAACUCCAUCCUCUCAGAAUCAGAGCGCCUCAAAGCAAAGAGGGACUUCCUUCCUCAUCUUAUUUCCUUCUCUGGGGAAAAAAACAAUGCUGGAGGUGGCUCUGGGAAAUGCUCAGGGGGCAGGAUGGGUUUGGAAGGGGGGACUGUGCUAAGGUGAAGAGGGGAAGGGCAGGAGAAAGAUGGCGGGGGCUGGAGGGGGGAGGGGUGUGGUCAGCAAGUGGCCAAGGUCCCUGCGCGGUGGAGGCAGACAGACCCCAUCGCAUUCCCAAACUGGUAGAAACCUGGGUCGGGGUCAGGCAGAGGAUCCCAUAGGCGACAGAGGUGAGUGAGGAAGUGGGGGGAUUAGAAUCUGGGGAGAGGGGCCAGGAAAGGGGGGGGUAGGCUGGUGACAGGGGCCCAUGUGGGGCCCCAGCGGUCAUACGUGCCAUGGUUGGCAGUGACAGCUGGGGGGGAGCACGGUCUUUGCAGCAUGGGGCGGCCCUAGGGGAAGGGGACCCCUACAGGGGGUACUCUGCGGGCCCGCGGGCCCCAGCCUUGGACAGGCCGGGGCAAGGGGCGCUAGGGGGUAGGCAGAGAGGAAUGGGGGGCCCCGUAGGGGGAGGGGCCAGACGAUGAUGGACAAGGCCAGGGCUGGCAGCGCAGGGCCAAGAUCGGGGUCACGGCCCGGGCACUCACCGCUCUCCUGCUCGCUGCCCUUCUUGGCGGCGGCGGCGUUGCCCAUCGCGGCGGCGGCGGCCGGGGCCGGUCCCGGAGCUGCGGCGCGGCGGGUGCUGGCUGCGGCCGGCGGCCCCGGAGCGCGCUGGGCGGCGGCGGCGGCGGCCCUCGGGCUGGCUGCGCUAGCUGCGGCGCCGCGACCCCCGCCCAGCCCCUGCUUCCCGCGUCUCUCCGCGCCCGCCCGCCCGGGAACCUCAGCCCAAGAUCUCUGCUGCUGUCCGUGACGCCCCCGCAGCCCGCCGCUCAUUGGCCUAGGCCGCCCUGACUGACGGCUCAGCACCGCCUCCCAUUGGCCCUCCCGCGACCUUCCCGCGCCACUAUAGGCUCUCAGCCUCGGGACACGCACCGCGGACUCUCGGCCAUUCACUCGCUCGCGAGGCCGCAGCUGGGCGGGCAGACGCGUCCGAUUGGCUGAGACGCUGGUCUGGGCCCGGGGUCCGCCCCGAGAGGCCGCCGAUUGGCGGAGGUGCCCGGUCCGCCAAGCCCCCCAGCAGAACGCUCAGUGUCAAUCCGGGGGUGAGAGGGCGGGGCGGAGACGCAGUCUACGGGCCCGGGCCGGCGGGGCGGGGCGGCGGAGGCUGGCUGACGGCCGCGCAGCGCUCCGAGGCUCAGGAGGCGGCCCCGGCGGCGCCCGGCCGGCCCCGCGCGCGCCGCAGUCCCCCGCCCCCGCUCAGUGCGGCAGCGGCUGGCGGCCAGCCGGAGUUGGCGCCGCGGCCUGCCCAGCGCAGCCGCUGUCCACCUGCCAGCGGGGGAGGGGCGCGGCCGGCGCGCGGGUCAGAGGUCGCCCGGCCGCCGCCGGCGUCAUUCAUAAGGCCUGGCGCUGGGCGGCCGUGGCCAGGCCUGCUUGGGGGCCAGGCCGCGGGGCCUCCUGGGUUUUCCCAGCCGCACUCAGGAGGAUGCCGGGCCUGGCGCAAGGGGUGGCUGGGAAGGGGCGCUCAGUGUCCACCCCUUUGCUGGGCCCUAGCCCUGGGCUCCUGCCAGUAGUAAGAGCUGGCACCCACUUAACGCUCCUUCGCACCACACUCCCAUCGCGUAGGUGCUACCAUCAUCACUCCCAUUGCACAGAUGAGGAAUCUGGGGUACAGCCAGGCAGAUUCCCUGCUCUUAUUCCCCGUCUGUAUUUCCUGUCUGGGCAAUGCGAAGGGAACCUGCCCCUUCCUUCAGGAUCCUCUUUCAGUACACACUUAGCAGAGGACAGUCGGGGUUUCCCAACUUCGACACUACUGACGGUGAGGCUGGAUCAUUUUCUGCUGGGGGGUGUCUUGUGCACCACUGGGUGUUGAGCAACAUCCCCCGCCUCUACCCACUGGAUGCCAGUAGCCCCUCCUCUAUCUUCCUGCUGGCUGUGGCAACCGCUGUCUCCUGACAUUGGUGAAUGUGCUCUUGCAGGGCCGAACUGCUCCUGAUUGAGAAGCACUUAAGAGAGGGUCAGGGGAGGGGAGAAGCCAGGUCACCCCGACUCGGAAGGGCUAGCUGGGCUUAACUACAAGCCGAUCUGCUGCUUCGACUUGAAUAGCCUCCACCUUCUCCAGCUGCUGUCUGCCCCCAUGUUCCCAGAUCAACUACAGUUCCAGGGAGGGAGAGUCAGAGCCUUUCUGUGAACUAUGGGGAAAUGGCUGACCACUCCGCCUCUGGAUGGAUAGAUACAUGGUAAGGUUUAGUAAAAUUUAAUAAAAGCAUUGCUGUUUGUGUGUUGGGAUCACGAUGUUAAUUUCUUCCUGUGGGUCAAGGGCAAAGUCUGAAAAAUCACUCAUUAUAAUCUAUCUGCAGGACAGCUGGUUUAAGUUUUGACAAAGAAAAACCCCUCCUGGAACCUCAGUCUGGAAUACAACUGUAGAACCAAUUAAGACUGGAGUAGGAAGCUGGGAAGAAGACGUGGGACAGCCAACCCACUGGACAGGGCAAGAGGCCACUUCUGGGGGAGAGUGGACAAAGUUGCUUCAGUCCACCAGAGACAAAAGCACAAACAAUCAUUCUAAACGAAGUGCUUUUAAUUUUCAGACCAACCAAACAUUUUUAAUAUAAAAACAUUUUGAUAAUAUACAAACAGCAAUCACAACAGCAUCCACAUGGCAGCAAGGGGACCAGGGC
rnacentral:lncRNA from 1 species